rnacentral:rRNA from 1 species
GACGAACGCUGGCGGCGUGCUUAACACAUGCAAGUCGAGCGGUAAGGCCCUUUCGGGGGUACACGAGCGGCGAACGGGUGAGUAACACGUGGGUGACCUGCCCUCAGCUCUGGGAUAAGCCUGGGGAAACCGGGUCUAAUACCGGAUAUGACUCCAUGACGCAUGUUGUGGGGUGGAAAGCCUUGUGCGGCUGAGGAUGGGCCCGCGGCCUAUCAGCUUGUUGGUGGGGNGAUGGCCUACCAAGGCGACGACGGGUAGCCGGCCUGAGAGGGCGACCGGCCACACUGGGACUGAGACACGGCCCAGACUCCUACGGGAGGCAGCAGUGGGGAAUCUUGCGCAAUGGGCGAAAGCCUGACGCAGCGACGCCGCGUGAGGGAUGACGGCCU